rnacentral:rRNA from 1 species
GGUUGGGCACCCAUUACAAGGGGGCCCCGCGGGCCCUUUAGUUAGUUGGGAGGAACGGUUCCCCCAAGGGCAACGAUGGUUACCCGACUUGAGGGGGGUAUUCGCCACCCUGGGAUUGGACCCGGCCCCAGAUUUCCUACGGGAGGCAGCAGUAGGGAAUUCUUCCGCAAUGGACGAAAGUCUGACGGAGCAACGCCGCGUGAGUGAUGAAGGUUUUCGGAUCGUAAAGCUCUGUUGUUAGGGAAGAACAAGUGCCGUUCAAAUAGGGCGGCACCUUGACGGUACCUAACCAGAAAGCCACGGCUAACUACGUGCCAGCAGCCGCGGUAAUACGUAGGUGGCAAGCGUUGUCCGGAAUUAUUGGGCGUAAAGGGCUCGCAGGCGGUUUCUUAAGUCUGAUGUGAAAGCCCCCGGCUCAACCGGGGAGGGUCAUUGGAAACUGGGGAACUUGAGUGCAGAAGAGGAGAGUGGAAUUCCACGUGUAGCGGUGAAAUGCGUAGAGAUGUGGAGGAACACCAGUGGCGAAGGCGACUCUCUGGUCUGUAACUGACGCUGAGGAGCGAAAGCGUGGGGAGCGAACAGGAUUAGAUACCCUGGUAGUCCACGCCGUAAACGAUGAGUGCUAAGUGUUAGGGGGUUUCCGCCCCUUAGUGCUGCAGCUAACGCAUUAAGCACUCCGCCUGGGGAGUACGGUCGCAAGACUGAAACUCAAAGGAAUUGACGGGGGCCCGCACAAGCGGUGGAGCAUGUGGUUUAAUUCGAAGCAACGCGAAGAACCUUACCAGGUCUUGACAUCCUCUGACAAUCCUAGAGAUAGGACGUCCCCUUCGGGGGCAGAGUGACAGGUGGUGCAUGGUUGUCGUCAGCUCGUGUCGUGAGAUGUUGGGUUAAGUCCCGCAACGAGCGCAACCCUUGAUCUUAGUUGCCAGCAUUCAGUUGGGCACUCUAAGGUGACUGCCGGUGACAAACCGGAGGAAGGUGGGGAUGACGUCAAAUCAUCAUGCCCCUUAUGACCUGGGCUACACACGUGCUACAAUGGACAGAACAAAGGGCAGCGAAACCGCGAGGUUAAGCCAAUCCCACAAAUCUGUUCUCAGUUCGGAUCGCAGUCUGCAACUCGACUGCGUGAAGCUGGAAUCGCUAGUAAUCGCGGAUCAGCAUGCCGCGGUGAAUACGUUCCCGGGCCUUGUACACACCGCCCGUCACACCACGAGAGUUUGUAACACCCGAAGUCGGUGAGGUAACCUAUUAGGAGCCAGCCGCUCGUAGAAGAGUAGACAGCCCUGA